rnacentral:tRNA from 2 species
GGAAGCGUGGCCGAGCGGUUGAAGGCAGCAGUCUUGAAAACUGCCGAAGGGGCGACCCUUCCGUGGGUUCGAAUCCCACCGCUUCCGCCA